UGCAAGUCGAGGGGUAUAGAGAGCUUGCUUUCUAGAGACCGGCGGAUGGGUGAGUAACGCGUAUGCAACCUACCUUUUACAGGGGAAUAGCCCGGAGAAAUUCGGAUUAAUGCUCCAUGGUUUAUAUGAAUGGCAUCGUUUUUAUAAUAAAGAUUUAUCGGUAAAAGAUGGGCAUGCGUAUCAUUAGCUAGUUGGUGUGGUAACGGCAUACCAAGGCUACGAUGAUUAGGGGUCCUGAGAGGGAGAUCCCCCACACUGGUACUGAGACACGGACCAGACUCCUACGGGAGGCAGCAGUGAGGAAUAUUGGUCAAUGGAGGCAACUCUGAACCAGCCAUGCCGCGUGCAGGAUGACGGUCCUAUGGAUUGUAAACUGCUUUUGUACGGGAAGAAAUGUAAUUACGUGUAAUUAUUUGACGGUACCGUAAGAAUAAGGAUCGGCUAACUCCGUGCCAGCAGCCGCGGUAAUACGGAGGAUCCGAGCGUUAUCCGGAAUUAUUGGG
rnacentral:rRNA from 1 species